GCUGCAGCAGCACACACUAACAGUGGACUAAUGCAGCGAAGAUCAGCACAGCCCUGUGCAAGGAUGGCAUGAAAACGUGAAGCAUUUCAUGUGUUU
ensembl:snRNA U6 U6 spliceosomal RNA